rfam:Vibrio sp. JCM 19231 DNA, contig00018.
ACGCUCACAACGCUCACCUGUCAUAGUCAGACAGAUAAGGCCACGGCCGUGAGUAGCCAUAAAGUUAAUCGCUUCUGGCGUGAUGUGCUCAGCGGCCAUAAUAA